rnacentral:piRNA from 1 species
UCCAGGAGUUCUGGGCUGUAGUG